UACGAAGGGGGCUAGCGUUGUUCGGAAUCACUGGGCGUAAAGGGCGCGUAGGCGGCUUUGUAAGUCGGGGGUGAAAGCCUGUGGCUCAACCACAGAAUUGCCUUCGAUACUGCAUGGCUUGAGACCGGAAGAGGUAAGUGGAACUGCGAGUGUAGAGGUGAAAUUCGUAGAUAUUCGCAAGAACACCAGUGGCGAAGGCGGCUCACUGGCCCGGUACUGACGCUCAUGCACGAAAGCGUGGGGAGCAAACAGG
rnacentral:rRNA from 1 species